rnacentral:lncRNA from 13 species
GUGGAUUGAUCUUCCAGUUUGAUUCUAUUACCAUGGUUUCUAAAAGAAGCCGGUCAGCCUCCAUUUGAGAUCAUCAUUGCAGCUAAAAGACCAGGGAUCACAGCAUAUGGACAUGCAUCAGUGAGUGGAUCUGUCCAUUCCUUAAAAUGCCAUCAUCAGACAGCAAGUAAUCCUUUGCAGUUCUUCUUCCCACUGAACACAGGGAAUCUGGUGACAUUGGAUGAGGUGAUCUAG